rnacentral:tRNA from 1 species
AUGCCGUUGGUGUAAAGCGUAGCAUCGCUGUCUGGAAAGCAUAAGGUGCGGGUUCGAGUCCCGCCUCGCAUA